UACACACUACCCUCCCCAGACCCCACUAAGUGGGAUUAUACUGGGUUGUUAUUGUUGUUGUUCUUAUGUGUAUUUUUGUGGGUUUUACCACUGUGAUUUCAUUUCCUUCGAUAAAAGAAUUGCAACUUCAAGUUCAGGCAUUGAAUUAACUCUCUAAUAUGUACUUAGUGUUAGUUUGAUAGUUAUAUAGUAGUAGUAAAUAAUCCUAAUCCCAUAUGUAUUAGGAGUAGGACAUGUAUUAUAUAUAUAGGGCUCAUUGUAUCAUUG
rnacentral:lncRNA from 1 species